AGGGGGAUAACAUCCGGAAACGGGUAGCUAAUACCGCAUAGUUUUCUUGAUCGCAUGAUUGAGAAAGGAAAGACGGCCUUUGUGCUGUCGCUUAUGGAUGGACCCGCGGCGUAUUAGUUAGUUGGUGAGGUAACGGCUCACCAAGACGAAUGAUACGUAGCCGACCUGAGAGGGUGAUCGGCCACAUUGGGACUGAGACACGGCCCAAACUCCUACGGGAGGCAGCAGUAGGGAAUCUUCCGCAAUGGACGAAAGUCUGACGGAGCAACGCCGCGUGAGUGAAGAAAAGGUUUUCGGAUCGUAAAACUCUGUUGUCAGAGAAGAACAAGUCGGAGAGUAACUGCUCCGGCCUUGACGGUAUCUGACCAGAAAGCCACGGCUAACUACGUGCCAGCAGCCGC
rnacentral:rRNA from 1 species